UACAGAGGUCCCAAGCGUUGUUCGGAUUCAUUGGGCGUAAAGGGUGCGUAGGCGGCGCGGUAAGUCGGGUGUGAAAUCUCGGAGCUUAACUCCGAAACUGCAUUCGGUACUGCCGUGCUUGAGGACUGGAGAGGAGACUGGAAUUUACGGUGUAGCGGUGAAAUGCGUAGAUAUCGUAAGGAAGACCAGUGGCGAAGGCGGGUCUCUGGACAGUUCCUGACGCUGAGGCACGAAGGCCAGGGGAGCAAACGGG
rnacentral:rRNA from 1 species